AUUGAACGCUGGCGGCAUGCCUUACACAUGCAAGUCGAACGGCAGCGCGGACUUCGGUCUGGCGGCGAGUGGCGAACGGGUGAGUAAUAUAUCGGAACGUACCCUGGAGUGGGGGAUAACGUAGCGAAAGUUACGCUAAUACCGCAUACGAUCCAAGGAUGAAGGCAGGGGACCGCAAGGCCUUGUGCUCCUGGAGCGGCCGAUAUCUGAUUAGCUAGUUGGUGGGGUAAAGGCCCACCAAGGCAUCGAUCAGUAGCUGGUCUGAGAGGACGACCAGCCACACUGGAACUGGGACACGGUCCAGACUCGUACGGGAGGCAGCAGUGGGGAAUUUUGGACAAUGGGCGCAAGCCUGAUCCAGCAAUGCCGCGUGAGUGAAGAAGGCCUUCGGGUUGUAAAGCUCUUUUGUCAGGGAAGAAACGGUGGAGGCUAACAUCCUUUGCUAAUGACGGUACCUGAAGAAUAAGCACCGGCUAACUACGUGCCAGCCGCCGCGGUAAAAC
rnacentral:rRNA from 1 species